UGGUGGGUAGUUUGACUGGGGCGGUCUCCUCCUAAAGAGUAACGGAGGAGCACGAAGGUUGGCUAAUCCUGGUCGGACAUCAGGAGGUUAGUGCAAUGGCAUAAGCCAGCUUGACUGCGAGCGUGACGGCGCGAGCAGGUGCGAAAGCAGGUCAUAGUGAUCCGGUGGUUCUGAAUGGAAGGGCCAUCGCUCAACGGAUAAAAGGUACUCCGGGGAUAACAGGCUGAUACCGCCCAAGAGUUCAUAUCGACGGCGGUGUUUGGCACCUCGAUGUCGGCUCAUCACAUCCUGGGGCUGAAGUAGGUCCCAAGGGUAUGGCUGUUCGCCAUUUAAAGUGGUACGCGAGCUGGGUUUAGAACGUCGUGAGACAGUUCGGUCCCUAUCUGCCGUGGGCGCUGGAGAACUGAGGGGGGCUGCUCCUAGUACGAGAGGACCGGAGUGGACGCAUCACUGGUGUUCGGGUUGUCAUGCCAAUGGCACUGCCCGGUAGCUAAAUGCGGAAGAGAUAAGUGCUG
rnacentral:rRNA from 4 species